GGGUGUGUAGCUCAGGGGUAGAGCACUACGUUGACAUCGUAGGGGUCACAAGUUCGAAACUUGUCAUACCCACCA
rnacentral:tRNA from 2 species